rnacentral:lncRNA from 1 species
AAGCUUUUAGUACAGACCUUUGCUCCUCCAAAUACAACUGUCAGAAGAGAGAAAGUCACAUGAACAAUCGCAAGGACAAAGAUAAAAAUGUGAAGGUGAUGCAACGCUUCAAGAGAGAGUAGUGGAACCUUGUGCUGAAAAACAAAAGACAAACAUAAAAAUAUGAAGGUGAUGCAACGCUUCAAGAGAGAGUAGUGGGACCUUGUGCUGAAAAAAAAAACAAGAAUUAUGUACUUUAAUGGAGUAAUCGAGCUGUACUAACAGAAACAGAUCAUUAUAUAGAAUUGGGAUUCAACUUUAGUGUCAGGAUAUUUAAGAAAAUAAUUCAAGUAAAUGUAUGUCUGCACAAUAUUUUUCACAUUGCCUCUUACUAAAGAUCAAGGACAAAUAAUCCCUAAAUUUUUGGCUUUUCCCUUUUUCUUUGUAUGUAAAUAAAAAGAACUAAAACAAUGGGUCCUUGUAGCAAAGAUAAU